UUUCAUCAACGCAAAGCAGGUUCGGUAGAGAUACUGAUUAAUAAGGAAUCAUGUGCAAAUCAUGAGCUGUCCCGCAACUGUAAGUGACCCGAAAAGUUUUUUGCCCAAGUGUGCCAUUGUCCAGAUGCUGAAUAUCGCAAAAGGAUGAGAAGGCCGGCAGAAAAUGUCACAAGUCAGGAGACUUGCCUAUUUUGUAUUGACAAA
rnacentral:ncRNA from 2 species